rnacentral:rRNA from 1 species
AGAAUCAACGCUGGCGGCGUGCCUAACACAUGCAAGUCGCACGAGAAAGGGGAGCAAUCCCUGAGUACAGUGGCGCACGGGUGAGUAACACGUGAAUAAUCUACCUCCGAGUGGGGAAUAAACUGAGAGAAAUCUUAGCUAAUACCGCAUAACACUUACGAGUCAAAGCAGCAAUGCGCUUGGAGAGGAGUUCGCGGCCGAUUAGUUAGUUGGCGGGGUAAUGGCCCACCAAGACGAUGAUCGGUAUCCGGCCUGAGAGGGCGCACGGACACACUGGAACUGAAACACGGUCCAGACUCCUACGGGAGGCAGCAGUGGGGAAUUUUGCGCAAUGGGGGAAACCCUGACGCAGCAACGCCGCGUGGAGGAUGAAGCCCCUUGGGGUGUAAACUCCUUUCGAUCGGGAAGAUAAGUGACGGUACCGAUAUAAGAAGCCCCGGCUAACUUCGCGCCAGCAGCCGC